GUGUUUUUUAAAAAAAGUCUCUCCAGGAAGACACUGAUGCAACUCGCCAGAAACUCCUGCUCCUUCUGACACUCCGCCUUCAGGAAGUCGUCACAACAUGGCUUCUCUAUUGAUCCUUUAACAACAUUUUUGCUGGAAGAAAUGACAAGUAGCUCCGCUUCCUGUGCAAGAUGUGUAAUUGAAUAUGGACCCAAAGAAUCAAAGCAACACUCUAGCAUGACGUGUCAAAAAUAACAGUGGAGUCCAGCGCUACUGAGUCUCGCUGGCAUCAUUCCAGACGGGAGAACUGGGACGCGGAAAGCGGGCCAAAGUUUCAGACGUUCCGCGCCAGCCGGCGCGGAGAAAGCGAUCGCCGGUCUGUUGGGCGA